CUUAUACCUUUCCUUUCUACUGGAUACAGACUUACUGAACCAAAGGGGGUCAUAGACAAUUAGCGUCAAUAAGACACAAAAAGGCUACUCACCCAAUGGUUUUGCUGAUCCCACUUCUGACACCAAGCUGAAAGGAUAAAUGCUGUUCUGGUCUCAACUCCCCUCGAUUCUCGAUCCCCCGUCACCACAUCAAUUGAUGGGAGAUCUUGUUUGGCAAAUAAGACACAGACACGAAAGAGUGCUCAACAAGUUCUCAAUGAGUAUAUUUUCAGGGCUAGCAUUUAUACACAGUUUGUCAUGCAAACAGUGAGAUCUAUAGUGUCCUUGUAGUUAAUAGUACAUACUUGUCGGACAUGAAAAAGAUAAGCAUUUGGAUAAAGACGAGACAGGAACAUCCUAAGGUCAAGGAAGGUCAUACAUCCUGUAGACGAAAGACCUUGGUACAAAAUACAUCUGCCAAAGUCAGCAUAAUUAUUUCAAACAUUAUUUUAAAGCAAGAAAGAGUUUAACUAUUUCAUAUCCUUACAGUCAGUACUAAUGAUUAUAA
rnacentral:lncRNA from 1 species